rnacentral:rRNA from 1 species
UACGGGGGGGGCAAGCGUUGUUCGGAAUUACUGGGCGUAAAGGGCUCGUAGGCGGCCAACUAAGUCGGACGUGAAAUCCCUCGGCUUAACCGGGGAACUGCGUCCGAUACUGGAUGGCUUGAGUUUGGGAGAGGGAUGCGGAAUUCCAGGUGUAGCGGUGAAAUGCGUAGAUAUCUGGAGGAACACCGGUGGCGAAGGCGGCAUCCUGGACCAACACUGACACUGAGGAGCGAAAGCCAGGGGAGCAAACGGG